GACGAACGCUGGCGGCGUGCUUAACACAUGCAAGUCGAACGGAAAGGCCCUGCUUUUGUGGGGUGCUCGAGUGGCGAACGGGUGAGUAACACGUGAGUAACCUGCCCUUGACUUUGGGAUAACUUCAGGAAACUGGGGCUAAUACCGGAUAGGAGCUCCUGCUGCAUGGUGGGGGUUGGAGAGUUCCGGCGGUUGGGGAUGGACUCGCGGCUUAUCAGCUUGUUGGUGGGGUAGUGGCUUACCAAGGCUUUGACGGGUAGCCGGCCUGAGAGGGUGACCGGCCACAUUGGGACUGAGAUACGGCCCAGACUCCUACGGGAGGCAGCAGUGGGGAAUAUUGCACAAUGGGCGGAAGCCUGAUGCAGCAACGCCGCGUGCGGGAUGACGGCCUUCGGGUUGUAAACCGCUUUCGCCUGUGACGAAGCGUGAGUGACGGUAAUGGGUAAAGAAGCACCGGCUAACUACGUG
rnacentral:rRNA from 1 species